AAAGCAAAGCAGAAGCAACCCGCUUCUCGCCUUAGUAAAAUUGUUUACUGGGCAUGAUAUCGAGUCAGGACUGAUCACUUGUGAACAGUCUUGUAAUUGAGCGGGCGCACUGUGUGCCCGCUUUUUUCUGCUUUU
rfam:Lactobacillus curieae strain CCTCC M 2011381, complete genome.